GAAUUUUAAAAUUGAGCAAAGUUUUACUAAUUUAUAGAGUAUAGUGGUUUUAGGAGCAAAGUUUACUACGUUUGUGUUAUUGUUACUCAAAAAUAUAAAAGUAAACAAAAAAGAAAACUACCUCUAUCUACUUUUGUCGAUGUUAAUUUCUUAAGAAGUUUCUCAUUAAAACAACCCUUAACUCAGUGUCCACGCCCAGGGCAGGGCUAGGGCGGUUAGCGUAACUACAAGUGGUUAACUUACAGUUAGCCAACUGAAGAACAAUCAACAAUGCCCGAUUAAUAAGUGAUCGCGCUGCUUGUCUACUACAUGUCCCUGCACUAGUUAUAGCAGUAAUUUCUUUGUUGGGAAGUAUUUAGCACAUCCGGGCUGCGCAAAAGGAGAGGACUAAAUUGAUUAUUAUGAACAGACCAUUAUGAUGAACCACUGAUAUUGACUCAGAGACAUGAAGAUGAGGGCUUUGACAACAAGACUGACUAGCUGAGCCAGCUUAAGAAUUAUGUGGUGUGUGUGUGUGUCUAAUUCCAGGAGCUCUCUAUGUCAGCCAUCCAUCUAUAUUCUUACUCAUUUUUGUUAAUUAUAAAAUAAAUUUGAUUAUUUA